GGAGAGUUGGCAGAGUGGUUUAAUGCAGCGGUCUUGAAAACCGUCGUGGGGCGACCCACCCGGGGUUCGAAUCCCUGACUCUCCGCCA
rnacentral:tRNA from 1 species